GAUGAACGCUGGCGGCGUGCCUAAUACAUGCAAGUCGAGCGAACAGAUGAGGAGCUUGCUCCUCUGACGUUAGCGGCGGACGGGUGAGUAACACGUGGAUAACCUACCUAUAAGACUGGGAUAACUUCGGGAAACCGGAGCUAAUACCGGAUAAUAUAUUGAACCGCAUGGUUCAAUAGUGAAAGACGGUUUUGCUGUCACUUAUAGAUGGAUCCGCGCCGCAUUAGCUAGUUGGUAAGGUAACGGCUUACCAAGGCAACGAUGCGUAGCCGACCUGAGAGGGUGAGCGGCCACACUGGAACUGAGACACGGUCAAGACUCCUACGGGAGGCAGCAGUAGGGAAUCUUCCGCAAUGGGCGAAAGCCUGACGGAGCAACGCCGCGUGAGUGAUGAAGGUCUUCGGAUCGUAAAACUCUGUUAUUAGGGAAGAACAAAUGUGUAAGUAACUAUGCACGUCUUGACGGUACCUAAUCAGAAAGCCACGGCUAACUACGUG
rnacentral:rRNA from 1 species